AACGAACGCUGGCGGCAGGCUUAACACAUGCAAGUCGAACGAGCUGGGGGCUUCGGUCCCCGCUGCUAGUGGCGCACGGGUGAGUAACACGUGGGAAUAUGCCCUUUAGUACGGAAUAACCAAGGGAAACUUUGGCUAAUACCGUAUACGCCCUUCGGGGGAAAGAUUUAUCGCUAAAGGAUUAGCCCGCGUCUGAUUAGGUAGUUGGUGAGGUAAUGGCUCACCAAGCCGACGAUCAGUAGCUGGUCUGAGAGGAUGAUCAGCCACACUGGGACUGAGACACGGGCCCGAGACCCACGGGGGGGGGAAGGGGGGAAAAUUGGAGAAAGGGGGGAAAACCGAGACAGACCUGGCGGGGGAGGGAAAAAAGGGUUGGGGGUGUAAAAAUCUUUUGAGGGGGAGGAUAAGAAGAGGAAACGUAUAAAAAACCCCGGGAAAAUUUGU
rnacentral:rRNA from 1 species